rnacentral:misc_RNA from 1 species
CCGAGUUUACAACUCCCAAACCCCUGUGAACAUACCACUUGUUGCCUCGGCGGAUCAGCCCGCUCCCGGUAAAACGGGACGGCCCGCCAGAGGACCCCUAAACACUGUUUCUAUAUGUAACUUCUGAGUAAAACCAUAAAUAAAUCA